rnacentral:sRNA from 1 species
AGAGUUCUAGUCUCUAGGUAUGUUCGAUAAAUUAUUCUCUCU